AUGAUGGAAAUUCAUCUUCCAGAAAGUCCCAGAGCAGCGUCCACACCCCUGAAAAGACCAAGAUGUGAGGUGUCUGCUGUUGAUUCCAGCUUCCACCUCAGUGACAGUGCAAGCUCAGUGAACUGUUCAAGGAGGCUACUGAUUCUGCCCCUGUGACACUUGGUGGUGACGUGUGAGCUGAUUCACCUGGACACUCAGCAAAAUAUGGACUCUACACCAUGAGGCAGGCACACGUUAAUACUCUAUAACAGCAC